CUAUCUCCCCCACAAGUGGUCUUGUGUCUCCAGGCAGAGGUAUUGUCCCAUUGACCAGGACCUAAACCUUGCUGGGCCACAGCACAUGCCCAAAUGUCUGAACUCUCAGUAUGACUCAGGCUGAGGUGGGGACAGUCCAGCCUUCUUGGGAACCCCCAGCCCCUGCUGGCCCAUGCAGUCAGGGGUCUGGCAGCUCAGAGGGACGGAAGGAGUGGGAGAGGAAAGGGAAGUUGACACUUCAAGAGAUUCCCUGGCAGAGGCAGCUGCUGUGGCCCUGGAGCUGAGCGGGUCUUCAGAACUUCCAGGCUUCUUUUCUGGGGGGAGAGGGGUUGAGACAGGGUCUCCCGAUGUAGUUCAGGCUGGUCUCAAAUUCACAGCUGGGAUCACAGGUAUGCACCACCACUCCCAGCUUCCGGCGCUGAUCCCAGGUGCAAGCAGCAGGUAAGGCCUGUUUCACAGGGUGGAUCCCCAAGCUGCCGAACCCACAGGCUCAGUGCGGGUCGGGCCUCAGUUUCCCUACCUGGCCCUGGCUGCUCCACCUCCCCAGCUCUCCUUGGGGGCCUCUGUGCCCCGCCCCAUCCUGCCCGGGCAAAUCACACAGAACCUACCCUGACUUUCCAGAUGCCACUUAGAGACGUUCAAAUGCCACUCUCAGCAACCCUUUCCUGCCACCAGAAGGGCCACCUGCCCACACCUGGGGAGGUCCCAGCACACUGCCCUGCCGGCCCCAGGUCCCCUCCCCCAGCGACUGCAGGGCUUUUCCACCCUGUGAAUCUGUGAACCAGACCUGCUGCCUCCCAGAUCAAAACCUUCCCUGGCUCCCGCUGUCCUGAGAACAGGCACCCCAGGCCCCAUCCCACCACCCCGCCUCCUUCUGCAUUCCAGCGGGAGGAAUUUCUUCCAUUUCCUCCCGCCCCGCACUUUCCUGCCGCUGGGCUGGGCCCCAGCCUCGUGACAUAAUGCUUUCCUCCUUUCCGUCCUCUGAGAUGAGCCCUCUGAGAUGAGCAGCCAUCUCCUGCUCAUCCCAGCCUGGGCACAGACCUCUCCUCCAGGAAGCCCUCCUUGUCCUCCUCCCGAGCACUUAUUCCCAGUGAGUAGCCCAGCCCUGAUCUUGCUCAACACGGCGCUGUUUCCCACCAACUUGGAUGCAGCCUCAGAACCCUUCUGGACACAGCCUUCCAGGGUGGCCCUGAGAUGAACUGGCCACCGCCUGUCUUCGUCAGAAGCCUGCAGUGGGCCUAAGGACUCGGGGCCAAGGAGGGCCUGGGUGUGUGCAUGUGUGCUCGUGUGUGUUCUGGUUUUGUUUUGGUGUUUUGAGACAAGGUCUCACUAUGUAGUCCAGGCUGGCCCUGCACUUGCGGUGAUCCUGUCUCAGCCUCCCAAGUGCUGGGAUUACAGGCAUGUGCUACCACACUCAGCCCAAGGAAGGCUUUGAUCCUGCUCUUCCUCUCCAUCCCUUGCUCUGGCCUCAGCCCAACCUCCUCCUGGCAUCAGCUGAGGCACCCACGUGUGCCCAGGAAUGCCCUUGCUCAAUAGUCACGCACAGAGGACAAGUCACAUGGAGGGGGCUUUCUGUCACCCCAGGCUUUCAGCCUCCAGCCUGCUGCCAGGGCUUCUGGGGUGUAAGGCAAGGUGCCUGGGUCCCCCAUCCCCAUCAGCCUGGCUGACCCCAGGGACCUCACCCCUCCUGGCCUCUUCUCCUUUCCCCUGGGAACCCAGCCGAGCUGAGCCCCAGGGCUGUGGGUUCCAACACUGGAGGUGGGACCGCAAUUGCUCUUGAGGGACUGGCGGCUGCCCACGCUGGCAGGAGCCCCUCUCUGCCUGUUGAGCUUGCUCUGUGAGGACAGAAGGAAAAAAUGUGUUUUCCUGAGUCUAGGCAGCUGGCGCCAUGGAGCCUCCUCACUGCUGGACGGCAGCAAGGCAGGAAGAACCAGCAGCAGCAGCCUGGGGUCCACCCCAGUUCUGCCACCCACUCACUCACUGUAUCUUCAGGCAUGUCACUCUCCCUCUCUGAGCCUCAGUUUCCCAACAUGCCAAACCUCUUCCGAGCUUAAAGCACCUCCCAGCAAGGAUAAUCGCUGAGUCUAGAUUGGGAAAUUUUGGCCCCAGUGAGGGCCAAGACCACCAGUGGAGGGGAGGCCCUGGAGGAAGGGAAAGGAAAUCAGGGCAGGCUUCCUGGAGGCGAGGGCAUGAGAACACAAAACACAAACACAGGGACUGUCCCCCGUCCACAGGGCUGCUUCCUCUUCCAGCUGGACCAGGGCCACAGCACCUCCCCACUGGCUCUGGUCUCACCUGCUCCACCUCCAAACCCCAGAGCUCUCAGAGGGCUGGUGACUGACCAGACCUACACAGCUGUUUCUAAACCUC
rnacentral:lncRNA from 1 species